rnacentral:snoRNA from 2 species
GCAUGCCUCUAACCAAGAUCUUGGAGUGCCACAAAACCCAUUGUGCACAAUUCCAAGAGGUUAAUUUCGGUCAUGCCAGAGCAAAAGAAUGAUUGGGUGUCCAUAUAACUUUUCAUAGUUACAUUUGGCCAAUAAUCAUUUGGACAG